rnacentral:rRNA from 1 species
GAUGAACGCUGGCGGCGUGCCUAAUACAUGCAAGUCGAGCGAACAGACGAGGAGCUUGCUCCUCUGUCGUUAGCGGCGGACGUGUGAGUAACACGUGUAUCACCUACCUAUAUGACUGGGAUAACUUCGGGACACCGGAUCUAAUACCGGAUAAUAUACUGAACCGCAUGGUUCAAUAGUGAAAGACGGCUUUGCUGUCACUUAUAGCUGGUUCCGCGCCGCAUUAGCUAGUUGUUAAGUUCACGGCUUACCACGGCUACGAUGCGUAGCCGACCUGAGAGGGGGAUCGGCCACAUGGGAGCUGAGACAGGGACCAGACUACUAAGAGAGGGAGCAGUAGGGAACGGGACGCAGUGGGCGAAAGCCUGACGGAACAGCGGGGCGUGUGUGAUGAAGGUCUUCGGAUCGUAAAGCUCUGUUAUUAGGGAAGAACAAAUGUGGAAGGAAACAAGGACGUCGUGACGGUACCGAAUCAGAAAGCCACGGCUAACUACGUG